GAUGAACGCUGGCGGCGUGCCUAAUACAUGCAAGUAGAACGCUGAAGGAAGGAGCUUGCUCUUUCCGGAUGAGUUGCGAACGGGUGAGUAACGCGUAGGUAACCUGCCUGGUAGCGGGGGAUAACUAUUGGAAACGAUAGCUAAUACCGCAUAACAGUAGAUGUUGCAUGAUAUCUACUUAAAAGGUGCAAUUGCACCACUACCAGAUGGACCUGCGUUGUAUUAGCUAGUUGGUGAGGUAACGGCUCACCAAGGCGACGAUACAUAGCCGACCUGAGAGGGUGAUCGGCCACACUGGGACUGAGACACGGCCCAGACUCCUACGGGAGGCAGCAGUAGGGAAUCUUCGGCAAUGGACGGAAGUCUGACCGAGCAGCGCCGCGUGAGUGAAGAAGGUUUUCGGAUCGUAAAGCUCUGUUGUAAGAGAAGAACGAGUGUGAGAGUGGAAAGUUCACACUGUGACGGUAUCUUACUAGAAAGGGACGGCUAACUACGUG
rnacentral:rRNA from 1 species